rnacentral:rRNA from 1 species
UCGGGAAUAUUGCGCAAUGGAGGAAACUCUGACGCAGUGACGCCGCGUAUAGGAAGAAGGUUUUCGGAUUGUAAACUAUUGUCGUUAGGGAAGAUACAAGACAGUACCUAAGGAGGAAGCUCCGGCUAACUACGUGCCAGCAGCCGCGGUAAUACGUAGGGAGCAAGCGUUAUCCGGAUUUAUUGGGUGUAAAGGGUGCGUAGACGGGACAACAAGUUAGUUGUGAAAUCCCUCGGCUCAACUGAGGAACUGCAACUAAAAACUAUUGUUCUUGAGUGUUGGAGAGGAAAGUGGAAUUCCUAGUGUAGCGGUGAAAUGCGUAGAUAUUAGGAGGAACACCGGUGGCGAAGGCGACUUUCUGGACAAUAACUGACGUUGAGGCACGAAAAGUGUGGGGAGCAAACAGGAUUAGAUACC